GCCCUGGCUCUGUGUGUCCCAGCAGACUGGUGUGGCCACUCUGCCCAAAUGCCAGGCGAGGACAGGAGCAGUGCCAAAGGGCAGAAGAGGAGUCUUACCUGUGGCCAUGCUGGGCAGGACAGUUCUGCAAGGUGGCUCUGGAGAAGUUUUCACUGGCCUUGUCUGGUUCCCGUGAGAAGAUUGCUGCUGUUGGGAGAUGGCCCCUUCAGGACUGUUUCAUUGGGAUUGACUUGAUACCACUUAAAACAUACAAUAACACUGAAAUGAAAAUUCACCCGGUUGUAUAAUUUUAAGAAGAAAUACUGCACAGGCUUGAUUUGGAAGCAGUCGCAACACUGCCGAAGAUUUGCACGGACAGUUUAGAGAACUGCGUUUUUCCUGAAACGUUUGAAAGGAAGCGGCCAGCCUAGUGCCUCGUAUAGCCCGCAAGGUUAAGCAUGCCUCUCCGCAGAGGAAGAUUCUUCUCCGUGGACGCAGUAAGGCCCGCACAGUCAGAAAGUGACGGUGGCAUACCCCUGCCUGCUGACAGUCGACCCCAGCCACUUACAGGGACGGUUGUAAUAGUAGCCUUCAUGCAGGCAGAAGCAGCCGGCUGGCAUCUCCUGCUGUGAGCUUGAGUCUCCACCUCCCUUGGUCGGAGCAAAUUUCCUGUAAGCCUUCAAUCUUUUUUUUUUUUUUUUUCUUGGAAAUCUCAGCUAACUGAAGAACUUCCUAAAAACUUCAUAAAUGCUAUUUUAGGGAAGUACCCACAUUUUUAUAAAACAAUACAAAUAAUUGCAUUUUCUGGAAUACUUUUUCAGUGUAAAGAAAUACACGUAUCUUCACAUUCAUGAGCGCCACUGUGUUCGAAUUUACUUGUUUUCUAGUUAUGCCUCUGCCAUACGUAUGUGUAUGUAUG